rnacentral:rRNA from 1 species
GAUGAACGCUGGCGGCGUGCCUAAUACAUGCAAGUCGAGCGAACGGACGAGAAGCUUGCUUCUCUGAUGUUAGCGGCGGACGGGUGAGUAACACGUGGAUAACCUACCUAUAAGACUGGGAUAACUUCGGGAAACCGUAGCUAAUACCGGAUAAUAUUUUGAACCGCAUGGUUCAAAAGUGAAAGACGGUCUUGCUGUCACUUAUAGAUGGAUCCGCGCUGCAUUAGCUAGUUGGUAAGGUAACGGCUUACCAAGGCAACGAUGCAUAGCCGACCUGAGAGGGUGAUCGGCCACACUGGAACUGCGACACGGUCCGGACUCCUACGGGAGGCAGCAGUAGGGAAUCUUCCGCAAUGGGCGAAAGCCUGACGGAGCAACGCCGCGUGAGUGAUGAAGGUAUUCGGAUCGUAAAACUCUGUUAUUAGGGAAGAACAUAUGUGUAAGUAACUGUGCACAUCUUGACGGUACCUAAUCAGAAAGCCACGGCUAACUACGUG